GACGAACGCUGGCGGCGUGCUUAACACAUGCAAGUCGAACGGAAAGGCCCUGCUUUUGUGGGGUGCUCGAGUGGCGAACGGGUGAGUAACACGUGAGUAACCUGCCCUUGACUUUGGGAUAACUUCAGGAAACUGGGGCUAAUACCGGAUAGGAGCUCCUGCUGCAUGGUGUGGGUUGGAAAGUUUCGGCGGUUGGGGAUGGACUCGCGGCUUAUCAGCUUGUUGGUGGGGUAGUGGCUUACCAAGGCUUUGACGGGUAGCCGGCCUGAGAGGGUGACCGGCCACAUUGGGACUGAGAUACGGCCCAGACUCCUACGGGAGGCAGCAGUGGGGAAUAUUGCACAAUGGGCGGAAGCCUGAUGCAGCAACGCCGCGUGCGGGAUGACGGCCUUCGGGGUGUAAACCGCUUUCGCCUGUGACGAAGCGUGAGUGACGGUAAUGGGUAAAGAAGCACCGGCUAACUACGUG
rnacentral:rRNA from 1 species